CUUGUGUGGCUGUUUUGGUGGCUGCUGCCGUUUCCGGUGGCGGCGUAGGCGUAGGCUGUGCUAUUCUGCCGAAUAAGCCC
rnacentral:tRNA from 1 species